UACGUAGGGUGCAAGCGUUGUCCGGAAUUAUUGGGCGUAAAGAGCUCGUAGGCGGUUUGUCGCGUCUGCUGUGAAAACCCGAGGCUCAACCUCGGGCCUGCAGUGGGUACGGGCAGACUAGAGUGCGGUAGGGGAGAUUGGAAUUUCUGGUGUAGCGGUGGAAUGCGCAGAUAUCAGGAGGAACACCAAUGGCGAAGGCAGAUCUCUGGGCCGUAACCGACGCUGAGGAGCGAAAGCAUGGGGAGCGAACAGG
rnacentral:rRNA from 1 species